rnacentral:rRNA from 1 species
CGAACGUAAACGUAAAGUAAUAGGACGGGGCCCGGCACAAGCGGAGGAGCAUGUGGUUUAAUUCGAUGAUACGCGAGGAACCUUACCUGGGCUCGAACGUAAGAUGACUGUAGGUGAAAGCUUACAUCUCUUCGGAGCAUUUUACGAGGUGCUGCAUGGUUGUCGUCAGCUCGUGCCGUGAGGUGUCGGGUUAAGUCCCAUAACGAGCGCAACCCCUACCUUUAGUUGCCAUCAGGUAAUGCUGGGGACUCUAAAGGAACUGCCUACGCAAGUAGUGAGGAAGGCGGGGAUGACGUCAAAUCAGCACGGCCCUUACGUCCAGGGCUACACACGUGCUACAAUGGCCGAUACAGAGGGCAGCUACCUGGUGACAGGAUGCAAAUCUCCAAAGUCGGUCUCAGUUCGGAUCGGAGUCUGCAACCCGACUCCGUGAAGUUGGAUUCGCUAGUAAUCGCGCAUCAGCCAUGGCGCGGUGAAUACGUUCCCGGGCCUU